rnacentral:hammerhead_ribozyme from 1 species
AUCCAACUGACUAGUCCCGAAUAAGACGAAACGCGAGUCAAACUGGAU